rfam:Gossypium raimondii chromosome 11, whole genome shotgun sequence.
AUCCCAUGAUUAGGACACUUACGAAGUAACUCCUUGAAUUGCUCUCAAGCCUCACAGAAAUACUCGUCAUCCAAUUGUUGGAAAGUUGUGAUCUCGUUCCACAACUU